rnacentral:misc_RNA from 1 species
AACCUUAUGGACCUGCGGGCGUAUACCUGCGGAAGGAUCAUUACAGAGUUAUCCAACUCCCAAACCCAUGUGAACUUAUCUCUUUGUUGCCUCGGCGCAAGCUACCCGGGACCCCGCGCCCCGGGCGGCCCGCCGGCGGACAAACCAAAACUCUUGUUAUCUUAGUUGAUUCUCUGAGCGUCUUAUUUAAUAAGUCAAAACUUUUAGCAACGGAUCU